CAUUAAAAUAAGGGAAAUUGCCAAAAAUACCAUUUUCAAAGUACUAUUUUUCCUGUUUACACUAAUCACUUUUACCCUCAUCUUUAAUGAAAGAAAAAAGACAUUUAUAACCUUUUGAUUAACUUUGACAAAAAAAAUAUAUGGUUAACAAAUCUAAACUUAAAACAACUUUAAACCCUAAACCACGAAACAUUAACUCUAAACCCUAAACACUAAACCUUCAAAUCUAAACCCUAAAACAUCAACUCUAAACCCUAAACGUAAACCCUAAACCCUAAAUCUAAACUUAAAACAUCAACUUUAAACCCUAAAUCAUCAACUCUAAACCCUAAACCUUGAAACAUCAACUCUAAACCCCGAAACAUCAAUUCUAAACCCUAAACUCUAAACCUUCAAAUCUAAACCCUAAAACAUCAACUCUAAACCCUAAAUGUAAACCCUAAACCCUAUAUUUUUGUAAAAUUCGAACCCUAAACCCUAAAACCCUAAACCUUCAAAUCUAAACCCUAAAACAUCAACUCUAAACCCUAAAUGUAAACCCUAAACCCUAUAUUUUUGUAAAAUUCGAACCCUAAACCCUAAAACCCUAAACCUUCAAAUCUAAACCCUAAAACAUCAACUCUAAACCCUAAAUGUAAACCCUAAACCCUAUAUUUUUGUAAAAUUCGAACCCUAAACCCUAAAACCCUAAACCUUCAAAUCUAAACCCUAAAACAUCAACUCUAGGGUUUUAGGGUUUAGGGUUUAGGGUUUAGAGUUGAAGGGUUAGGGUUUAGAGUUGAUGUUUCAGGGUUUAGGGUUAAUUGUUUAGGGUUUAGGGUUUAGGGUUUAGAGUUUACUUUUUAGGGUUUAGGGUUUAGUGUUGAUAGUUUAGGGUUUAGUGUUGAUGGUGUAGUGUUUAGAGUUGAAGUUUAGGUUUUAGGGUUUGGAGUUGAUGUUUUAGGGUUUAGAGUUGAAGGUUUAAGGUUUAGGGUUUAGAGUUGAUCUUUCGGGGUUUAGGGUUUAGAGUUGAUGUUUCAGGGUUUAGGGUUCGUAAUUAAAAAAAAAUAGGGUUUAGGAAUAAUGAUUUAGGGUUUAGGGUUCGUAUUUCAAAAAACAAUAGGGCUUAAGAUUGAUGGUUUAGGGUUUAGAGUUGAGGUUUAGGGUUUAGGGUUUGAAUUUCGAAAUAGUAUAAUUCGAAAAAAAAAUAUUUUUUAUUUUUUAGAAUUUUAUUUAUUUAAAUAUUUAUUUAUUACAUAUAUGUAAAGAACAAUGGCAUAAGAGUCUUUUGCCUCUUAAUGAAAAAAAUAUUUUUGAAAAUGUCCCUACAUUGGUGGUAAAAAUGAAAAGUGGUAGCAUGAAAGUGGUAAAUAUGUAAUUUUCCCUUAAAAUAAAUAUAUUCAAAUAUAACAUUAUAAUUUUGAAAUAUAAUUUAAUUAUAUAUUUUUAAAUUAUACAAUUUUAUUAUUAAAUUUUUCAUUAAUGUAUACAUUUUUUUUAGAAGAUUAUAAAAAUUUAAUCGUAAAAUCAUUAUUUUCUUAUAUAUCUAAAAUUUUUAUAAAUAUUGUUUACUUUUAAUUUUUGGUAAUUGUGUAACUUUUACAAAUUUAUUUAAUAUUUUUAAUUAAAAUAAAUAGAUAGAAAAAUCUAUCUAAGAUAAUAAUUUCAAAUAUAUACAUGCAUAUUCUUAAACAUAUUUUUUUUAUGUUUAAUUAAAUCAAAUUUAUAUUAAAAUAUUGAUAUGAAAAUGAAAAUUUAAAAUAUUAAUAAUAUUUUAUUUUAAAAUAUAAAUUAUAUUUAUCUGUUAAAAAAUAUUUUAAAUUUUUUUACUGCACUUGGUGCAGGAAGACACCUAGUACUUCUUUAAAAAGAAAACAACAUUCCGUUAAAUAUGGAAAUGUUUUUAAAAUUUUAGAUAUUACUUUUGCUUUCACAAAAGUUCAUUUGUUUUAAUAACUAAGUAGUUUUAGUUAAAAUAACUAAUCAAUGUUUUAAAAAUCAAUAAUCAUGUUUAGUCAGCAAAUCGGAUCUAAUAUUUGAAAAAUAAAAUUUAAAAUAUUCUUGUAUAGAUAUUUAAUAAUUGGUUUAGUUACUGCUUACAGAUUUCUUAAACAUUAACACUAAUAUUAAGAAAUUUGUAACUUAUGAAAAAUGUAAUUUAGAAGAUUAAUUCAAACAAUUAUAAAAUGUACAUUAUUUGAUUGGCCUUACAGUAUUCAAUAAGUAAAAGUUACAUUAUAAUAUAAAAAUUAUCUAUAAGUUGAAACAAAAAAUCUUAAUUUUUUUUUUGAAACAUAAUUUUACUUUCAAUAAAUUUGUUGACUAAAAAAACGAGUAUGUAAAAUGAGUGAGUGUGACGUGUAAUAGGGCCCACGUUGAUAUAAUAGAUUCUGUAAUUAAAGUAGUAGCAAAAGAAAUUUGGUCAAUCGUCUGGACUCAUGUAUAUUAAUGACAGUCGAUAAACAAAAAGAAACAGUAAUAUUCAUAUAUACUGUUUUAAUAACACAACACCACACGCGUUUGGACACGCGUGCAUAACAAAAGCCGACGAUAUCCACGUGGUACAAACUGUUUGAUGUGGUUGAUUACAGUCAUGACACGUGGGAGAUGGCUCUGUCUCGAUUCGUCGAUUUGGAUCUUAUGUCUUCUGUCGACGCUACUCGUUCGCUUAAAUAUCUCUCCGUAGAUAUAAAUACUAUCAAGGACAGAGUUAAAAAGAGAAAAAAGCUAACCUCACGGUUUUCACGGAUGGUAUGCGUGACAUCCGCGUUAACUACUUACGUGGCCGGAUGAGAGUGAUGGGAUUACGUUAUCUCGUUGAUGAGCGGUCAUGUAAAUUCCUAAGACAAUAAAAUUAUAAACACUGACAAUGCCACGUCAGAGAGUCCCACCAAAUGACUUUGCCGGGUUUCUGUGGAUUCCUUGUAUUUUUUUUUUUUUUUUUUGCCAUUUUAUUUUAUUAUAUUAUAAAAUACCAAAACUCAUACAUUACAAAACCAAUUAAGACCCAAAAAAAAUCCAUACAGACACAAAGCCCAAACUAUAGGCAAAGUAAAGAACUAAAGAUGGGCUUCGAAGCCCAAACAUAAGAACCCGAAACCAACCAAACCAACUCGACAAACACGCGUCGAGAUAUUUUAAACGAGAAAAACACGUGUUGAGCCCUUAGCGAAGUAAGGUACACGUGUCACCCAAUCCUUUCAGCUUCCUCACCCUUCGAGAUUACGCCGGAAAAACUAGGCGGCGGCGGAAAAACUAGGCGGCGCCAGAAAAACACCGGAUCUCGACACUGCAUCACCAUCCAUCAGCGCUUGGAAUCCUUAGGCGAAGAGCGUCCAUCGAUCUAUUCGAGAUCUUCUCCAGCUUCCAAGCCGCCGAAUCCGAGAUUAAAACCGUAACCAUGGAUUAAAGAACCAAACAAACUCCAGUUUAAAACUGGAGAUAUCGCCACCAAAAAGAACACAGAUCAUCCAAAACCGACAGACCAUCACCUAUAGAGAAAGGUGUGGUCUCCGGAGUCAAAGCCGGUCACCCAUCAAUAGGUAGAUGCAACACCGGAACAGGAGGGACCGGACAUGUAACGCCGACGGAGCCGUUCAUGCCGGGAAGAGCACGAGAGUAAGGAUCGUCGCCAUAACACCUUUUCCCGACCGACGGUGGUAGAGGCACCACACCACAGGUCGGAGAUCGCUAUUUCAAAGUUUUGUAGUGAGAGGUCAGAGCGUUUUUUGGGAUUCCUUAUAUCAAAAAUACGAAUAUAGUAUACGAAAAUUAUGAGAAGCAAAGUUUAUUAUGCUUUUGUCGUCUCCGAAAUGUAAAAUCCCUUCAUUAACGCACUAAGGUAUAUCGAUAAUGGCGAGAUUAUUGUAUUGUUAUUUCUUAUAUUGAUAAUUAAAUCUUUAUGGUUGUUUAAAAUUUUAUUGGAUAUUCAUAGCGAUAGAGGCGUUUAAAUAAUAUACAGCAAACAUGGCACCAUGACUGUUUCGUCCAUAUUAUCGGUUCAAAUCUAGAAAAUGUAGGAAGGUACACAUUGCAGCAAAUAACAAUAGUUUAUACUAUGAAACUAGAUUAAUCUUUGAAGUAUACAAUAAUAAUUUGUAUUAGAAAACAAUUGAUAGAUAGAGGCUAGGCAACUGAUUGUGAUGUAUUUUAAAUUUAUUUGUUAUACAUAUAGUUCGAAUAUAUUUAGAUCAGAGGCUAGGCAACUGAUUGUGAUGUAUUUUAAAUUUAUUUGUUAUACAUAUAGUUUGAAUAUAUUUAGAUCAGAAAAUUUAAAAUAUUUUUAUACAAACAUUAGUGUUAGAUAUGAAUAAAUUUUUUUUAUUUGUUUGAUAAUUGAUGAGGGAAGAGAUUUGUAUGUGGAAGCCCUUUUGCUUUUCAUCUGCCAUUUUAAUGAUGGUAACAAUAAUACUAAUUAAGUUUAUCUUAUAUAUUAAAACAGAAGUCACAAUCUUUGAUUCAUGUGUUAUUUUUUUUUAAAUAGACCUAAUGGACAUAUUCUUAGAAAGUCAUGUUACAUUUAAUCUAUAAUUUUAUUAUUUAAAUUUUGGACCUACCAGAUAUUUUUAUUGGACUAUCAAUAAUUGGAUUUAAACAAUAGAUAAUCCAUUGGAUUUAUAAACAGUAUAAAUUAAAUAGAUAUAAUUUAAUGUUUUAAUACUAUACAUCCAUAUGUUAAAUAUUUAAAUAUUUGUCGAUGUUAACUUUUAAAAUUAUAAAGAUUUUUUUAAAUAACAAAAAUUAUAUUAUCAUUAAUCUUUACUACCUUAAAUCAAUAGAAACAAAUUUUAAACUAUAUAGUUAAUUUUAAAAAUUAAACAAAAACUAAAUGUUUAAUUAUUUCUUCGAUAAUAUAAAUCUAUGAAGCAAAAAUAUUAAUUUUUUAAGAACUUUAUAAAUUUGUGAAAUGUUACAAUAUCUUUGAAUAUGACAAUAAAACAAUAGUAUACUAAUUUUUAUAUAUAUAGUUACGAUUUUAAUAAUGAUAUAAUAAUCCAGAAAUAUAUAUAUAGAAGAAGAAACAAAUACAUGAAAGUUUGAAACAAUCUAUUCAAUGAAAAAAUAUACCGUAAAAUUAUUAUGUUUUAAAAAUUGAUAGACACAUAUAUAAUAUAAUAUAUACCAAUUUAGAAUUGAAAAUAAAAUAUUUAUAUAAAAAUAAAUGAAAACAAAAACUCGCGCGGUUGUGCGGAUCGAGAUCUAGUUGCUAAUUGAGAUUGCUAUUAAUUUGACCAAAACUAUUCCAUAAUAGAUAGGUUAUUAGAUCAAAAGAAAGCCAUGAUAGAUAUUUUUAUUUUACACAUUUAUUGAUAAUUAAUUCGUUGCCAUUAGAGAGAGACACUAUGAUACAUUUGAAAGGUUCUAUUAUAACUAACUGAUGACUAGUGCGGUUUUUCUUCUUCUUAUGCUAAAACAUUUUAGUUUAUAUGACAAAAUUUAUCACAAAAUUAAUGUAAUUUAUAUGUUUUAUAUAAUUAUAUAAUGCUUAUAUUUAAGUGGCUUAUAUUGUUAUUUCUAUAUAUUUUGUAACAAAAUUUAUUUUGAGAACAUUAUUAUGUAACAAUACUAUUUUACCUAAUUUUAAUUUUAUUUCUAAGUUCGAAAUGUAUAUGGAAGUCAAAUUAAAUCGGACCUACAUAAUAGAGAAGAAAUAUUUUGAGAUAUUGUUGAAAACAACAAAAAUAUUUUUUUUUUAAAAAACUAUAAUAUAUAGUACAUGCAAAAUAAUUUUGCAGUAGAAAUCUUAUUUGAAAAUUUUCUUGAAACACACAAAAUUGGAUAAGAUUUUUUAUUUUAUUUUAUUUGAAAUAGAUAUGGACAUUUCUUUCUAACAAAAUCUUUUUAAGAUCUUUAUAAAAUAUAUUUCUGAAAAUUAAUUAAUUUAAAUUUUUAUUAUCAUUACAUAAUCAAAAUAUUUAUAUGAUUUUAUUUUUCGUUCAUAAAAAAAUUAAUUUGAAAUUCUAAUUAUAUUUUAUGAUAUUUAAAAUUUAAAUUAAUUAAUUUUUGGAAAUAAAAUUGAAAAUGAUUAUGAAAAGAUUUUCUUAGAUUUUUCGUGAACAAUAGUAUUUUAAAUAAAAGAUAAAGACAUUAAAAGAUAUGAAGAUUAAAUUAUGUAAAAUUUGACUCUUGUUUUAAUAGUAUAGCUUUUAUAAUAAUAAAUCUUUUUACUUUAUGUUUGAAAGGUUUGUGGGCCGUGAAAGAAGAAAAUAAAGACUCAUAUUCUAAGGCCAUCUCCAAUGACACACAAAAAUAUUCUCUAUAGUUCACACUAAAAUAGAAUAACUCUAUUAUAGAGUUGAAUUUGCUCCAAUGGCUUACUCUAAAAUAUAAUUUUUUUUUGACGAAAUUUGAAAUUUAUUGAUAAUGUAAGAAGAAUGAGCAUUUACAAGACUCUAAUGUGCCCUUUUAUAAAAUUUACAAGGCAAAAUCGUGAGAAAUAAUUCUACCUAGAUGCUAUCCGAGACAGCAAACCAUCUCUGCAUCAAGCCUGCAUACUUGUGCUCACCCUUGUAAUAGAGAGAAGUUAUUCUAUUGCGCACCGCCUUGUCAAUAAUACGUACUACCUGAUCAACACUACAAAACCCCGACUGAUGCCUCCUCCCAUUUCUUUCUUUCCAGAUGUGAUAGAUGGAUGUCUGAAACACCAUUUUGAGUAGAAUCUUGUCCAUGAUUGCAAGUUAUUCCCAACCACAAAAUGCAGAGUGAUUGUCCAGUCUGGAUCAGUCCUGUUGCCACUCAAUCUAUUUGCUAACUUAUCCCAAAUAGUAAACGAAUACGGACAGGCGAAGAAGAUGUGAUCACAGGUCUCAUCAGGCUCUCCACAAAGCACACAACCUUGCUGCAACCCCAAGCUCUCAUUCUGUCUCCAGUAGCCAAUCUGUUCUUAACAGCCAACCAAACAAUAAAAGAGAACUUCAGAACUCCUUUAGCAAACCAAAUACUUUUACUCCAAAAGACUGUAGGUUUCCUUUUUCUGAUAUGUUCCCACGUUUGUGAAGAAGAGAAACAUGGUUUAUAAGAGUCAUCAGAAUGCUUCCAUAGCAUAACAUCACUACCUCGAUUGAUGUCUGGAACUGGUUCUCUCUGAAUGCGAGAAUGCAGGUCAUGGAACUGACGACUCCGUUGCCCCCUUACACUCCAUCUCGAUUGCACAACAGCAUCACACACCCGAGCAGUACGAGGAACUCCAAGAUAGCAUGUUCCAAUAUCUCCCGUGAUGUCUAUAAGUCUCUCCAUUUGUAGCCAAUCAUCAAACCAAAAGAACGUCGUUCGUCCAUCAUUAACCUCAACUCGUAGGAACUGAUAGACAAGAGGUCUUAGCUUCAAUAACUUUCUCCACAUCCACGACCCCCUUUGAUUUUCCUUGACAUUCCAGAAGGAGUUCUGCCUUAGUAAGUACUGCUGAUCAAAGAGACCCAUAGAGAACUUGAUUUCGAAAGGAUCCUCCAGAUUAGGCUCAUAGCAAACACUUUCGACGAGUCAUGAAGCUUCCUUAUCCCUAGUCCUCCUUCACCUUUGGGACAACAAAGAUCUUCCCAUGCUACCUUUGCCUUGUGAGUCUGAUUGGGAGAUCCAGACCAGAGGAAAGCGCUGCACAUACUCUCGAUCUCAUCUAGACAAGCUUUGGAGAGGAUGAAAGCUUGACUCCAAAAAUUGACAAUGCUUGCUAUGACCGAUUUAAUCAGUUGUAGCCUACCCGCAUAAGAGAUACAUUUAUUCCUCCAAGACAUCAUUCUUCCACGUACCUUGUCCAAUAAAGGCGCAUAGUCUUCCUUAGACAAAGCUUUUGUGAUUAAAGGCAUACCCAAAUACUUCACCGGCAAGGAACCAACCUUAAUACCGAUCCUUACUGCCUCUUCAAGCGUAGGAGAGACACUGUGCCCAGAUGCAAAGAUUGAUGAUUUCGUAGCGUUGAUGUGUAGGCCCGAGAUAUUAGCAAACUGUUCCAUGACUUCCAAUAUGACCCGGUUUUUAAAUAACCGGCUCUUAGCUUUCUUAGUUAAAAAUUAAGAAACAGUUUUUUAACUUCCGAUAAGAACCCUAUCCUAAAAAACUCGGAUUAAUAGUCACAUUUAUUACUAAAAAAUCAUUAAAAACCCUAUUUGGAGUUUUAGGGAUAAAGAUGCUCUAACCACACUUUUCUUCAAAUAUGGGCUUUAGCUCGUCAUUUUCAUCGUCAGAGUUUGUCACUUAUCGAGUCUGGCUUUCUUCGGCCGUAGAUCUUCAAAUUGAAUGAGCCUAUUUUAAAACUGGACCGGACAUUUAUAAAGGCAGGAAACCCACCUCUGACUUGAAUCCCUGCUUAUAUAGGCAGAUUCCCAAACCCUUGUUCGCUUGCUAAAUUCUAAAAAGUAACGAUCUGAGAUCAGUGAAAUAGUGUUUGAUCUUGUUCCUUUGUUUAUGUUCCUCGUUUGAAAAAAAUCAGCUUUAGCUCUAACUCAAAUGUUGGAGACUGGACCUUAACGUGAUUAAUGAAUGCAGAGUUUGAACAAAAAAAGACAAAAAAAAAUAGACACUAGAAAGACCAGUUAACACCUCUACACAUGAAGUUUAUCGCCUUUUAUAUCGAAAUUACGUACCAUAUGAUUAUUAAUCUAAACGAACAAAAUAUAGAAAAGCAUUUCCAGAAAGAUAUGGGCAACAUUCAGAAAUAAAGCACUUGAGUACAACACCAAGAGACUUCUUAAAAGUACCAAAGACAAAAGUUGAAAGAGUAGCUUAUUACCACACAUUUGAUUUUAGUUUACCGAAGCAUACAUAAUCAGGAACCAAUUAGCCAAUUUUACAGACGUACUUUUUGUUUUUAUUUUAUUUUAUUUAUGGAGGUGUGCAAAUCAACAACAUUCCUUCAGCUCACUGCACCUCCGGUUCGCCUGGACCAGAUGAAACAAUCAAAUCAUGAUCAAUUCCAAUAGAAUCAAAAACACUAGAACAAUGUCAUAGAAGACCAUUGUAGCUUGCUAUUGUCUGCGUCAUGUUACCGUGAGUAAUAAAAACUAACUGAAUCGAAACUCUGAGAACAUUUUGAGAUUCCGCAAACUACAAUGGUCUGAGAAAAAAAAAAGCCUCAAACUACUCCGUAGAGUUAUCAAUCAUAUUCAGGAGGGUUAAUCUGAAUGAUAUGAAACAGAGGCUCAAUGUGCCCAUCACAUCAAGCAAAAGUUGGCUAAAUUUUAAUCCAGAGUAAAACUAUUUUACUCAAAUAUCAGCUUAAAAUUUCAAAACAAAAAAAAGAAUCAGUUUUUUUUUCCUCGGUUCGAUUCGGAUUCACUUCAGAAUCGAUAAUAUGAAUGAAACUGACUUGAGACGAGAAAGCUGGUUGAACUCUUUUGAUUUUUCCAGAGGAUUGAUUCAACUCGAUUCCCGAAACACAAAAUUAACUAACAACAUCGCUAAGAUUUCCAGAAAAUUUAAAGCUUUAAUCAUUGAUAAUCGGCAACAUCAAAAAGAGAGGGAGAAAACCUAAUUGUAGUAGAGCUCGAGGCCCAUGCCGUCGUGGAUCUCGUAGUCCUUGAGAGUGAUAUGAUCCUUGUAGAUGUUGUACCACUUCUGAAUUCGAAUCUUCUCCGCUCGCGUUCCGGUCUGCGCCGCCACGAGCUUCUUCAGAUCGCCGAUCGUGUCAUCUUCGUUGCACUUAACCCUUACUUUCUUCCCCAGACGAUCGUUGAGCACCACCUCGAUCAUCUUUUGCCCCUUUGUUGUUGGAAUCACAAACCCUAGCCUCUCGAUUUCUCGUUUGUUCGGGCUACCAACGCAGACUUUUAUUUUUAUUCUAUAUCAGACCAGAAUAUAAUAUAUAUAUAUAUAGAGAAAAGUAGAUGUUUUAGUCGGUCAAUCUUUAUAUUAAAAGGCCCAAACGGGAAGGUUUCAGUUUUAACAAAUGGGUCUAGGCCCAGUCUCAAAUAAAGACAAGCAGGUGUAUUGAAUGAGUUUUAGGAGAUUUUGUUAAUUUGUUAUUUUUUUUAUUGUGUUAAUUUGUUAUUCAAUCAAUUAUUUAAAUUAUUUUCCAAAUCAUAAGUUAUUCAAUACAUUAUUUGUACAAAGUUAUUUAAAAUCACUUGUAAUCCCCUGUUAUUCUAUUAACUAUUUGUAAAAACAAUAUCAAAUACACUAUUAUUUUACUAUAAAAAUAUUUAGUAAGAAAAAAUUAUGAUAAAUAUUUUAGAAAAAAAAAUGAUAAAUUAUUUUUAGUUUAAAAUAGUUCAUGUAAAAAAUAUUUUCAUAAAUUUUAUUUGAAAAUAAUUAAUUAAUACGCUGUCAAAAAAAAAACUUAAUUAAUACAUUUUGAAUAUUGAUAUAUAUUUAAACACAUAACCUACAUUACAAAAAAAAGAGAGCCGCGACUUGGUCGUAAUAGUUUUCUCAUUUUGUAAGUCCUCUUCACCGAGCUACCACUCUUCUCCGCAUCACCCCACCACCUCCUCUCUCCUCCUCACCGAGCCACCACUCUUUUUCCCUUCCGUUCAACGCGUCGAGUUCAUAUUUGAUUUUGGCUUUAAUUUCUUCUCUCUACCUCACAAAUCCGCAAUUCCUCUGUAACACCCAUAUCUUUCUUUACGGCAUACCACCAACAAUAUAUCAUAACAUCAUCUCAUAAAUAGAUCUCCACUCACCGUAAGCCCACAUUAAAUUCAAAUGAAAAGUGUCCAAUAGCACCAAUCCAUCCAAAUAUCACCUACUUGUCUAUCUCACUUGAAACUGGAAAGAAAGAAGGGUCAGUAACAAGUAACAGGAGAGUCACACAGUGAGGUAUGGGAAACUAAAUCCAAAGUCCAUGGCUACGGACAUACCACUCCGAAUAUAUAUAAUUUAACCUAACAUGAAACAGACAAGACACCUAAGGCACCCAAAGAACAAGCAAGGGUUAUAGUGCGAGAUACUCGGGCUGCGAAGUAGUCCUUUAGGCUGGAAUAGAUGGGCUUCAUUGAAUGAUCAUGUCUUCAUUGCCAUUGCAGUCUGUUUUGAUUGGGCUUUUACUACACUGGAUUUAUGUGACAAAUCCUGCUCCAACACCCUAAAUAAAAGAUCCAUUGAGUUUUAUCUUUUUAUAUUUCUCUUCAUGUGUAAAAAAUAGCUGCAUACUAUGGUUAUUAGCCCUAGGCAUUUUGGUUAUUUUGUUUUUUUUUUCCGUUCUAUAGAUAUAAUAUCCGUUUGAUUAUUUAUGAAGUUUGGUUUCACUUUAGUUAUUUUGGAUUUCAGUUCAGUUCAGAUAAUAAAAGUUGAAAACCGGUUAAUAUCCGAUAAAUGUUUUGGUCCAAUUCGGUUCUGAUUUUUCAGACUAUUUCGUUUAAUUUGGAUAAAUUUUAUGGAUAAUUCAGUUUUUGAAAAAGAUAUCGGAUAAUUCGGGUUUUCAGAUAUAAUAUUGAGAAUUCGGAUAAUUUGAAAUAUUUGAAUGAUAUGGUUUAUAAAUAGUAUUGUUAGGAUAUCUGGUUAUUAUAAAAUUAAAUAUAACUAAUAUUGUUAGGUAUAUAAACUAUAUUUUUAAAAAUCGUAUACCCUUUCAGUUAUUGGUAUGGUUUCGGUUUUUGAUUCCAUAAUAUAAAAUGUGUGUGGAUAUUUAUGAUACUCAGUUUCGGUUUUGGUUCCUAUUCUUUUGGUUUGGUAUAGUUUAGUUUUGUGGUUCCGGAUAAAAGUGUCUGGACCUAAUGGUUAUGGUGGCUUGGCUCGGUUCACAAAUGGGAGAAUAGUAUGAUUAGAAUCUAACGCACUGGUUUUAGGAAGUUUCGGAAGUUCAAUUAUUUUUCAACAUCUAUAGUUAUAUAAAAGGUUUAAUUAGUUGAUUUAAUUUGAUAUUCAUUGAAAAAAACAAUUGCUGUAUGAAAUUUAAAACGUUUUCAAUUUAGCCAAUAAAAUUGAAAAUAUUUAUUACCUUUGCAUCAUAAGUCAAAUUUUGUGGUAGAUGAUUGAAAAUGGUGGUUAAGAUGAUGUGGGAAAAUUAGUAGCAACUUUUCUCAUAUAAAUCACAACCGUAUGUUUUAUAAUAAUGUCAGAAACGAAUAAACUAAAUUGGAGACUGAAUAUUUUUAUAUAUAGUAAAAAUAUGAAGCUCAAAAGCGUUAAAGAACAAAAAAAAAAAAAAAAAUCUUUUCUUAUUCAAUAAGAUAAAAAUAAAUUCAAUGAUAUCCAAUUGGAGCUGGAGCUUCCUUAAGUUCACGACCUUGGUAAUGAAUAUCCUGCAAAGAAAACAAUAUUCAUCAGUUACACACUAGUUUUGUCUCCUUCCAAUAACAUUACAAGAGAAUAAGAAACACACUUACGGAUGCAUAAUGGUUAACGUCACGGUGAUGUGCUUCAUCAGCACGAACCACCAUGACAACAUCACGAAGCGUUGCAUCAGCAGGGAGCCUCCAGUAAUCAAUGGCUAUGGCUGGUGCAGGAACGUUUUCGAUGUUACCAUUAUCAAGUUCCUUGAGGAAUUCAGUGUAAGAGUGGAUUGCUUCUUCCUCGAGGUAUCCAACCAUACGGUGAGCAAACUUGGGCGAGAUUAUGUAUCCGAGAAAAUAUGCGUUGAAGAAAACGCCUUGAACGGCGAUCACGAGGGCACGUUCGUACCAAUUGGGUUUUGCGACUUCCAUGAAUGUCAUCAAGUGCAUUCUCUCGUUCUCUGCUUCUUCAAGGAGUGCUUUGAUCCAACCGCCGCUUUGUUCAAACCGCCUCAGCGAUUUGCAGUGUACUAACAUUCCUCCGACCAUUCCUGGAACCGCUGCUACCGUUUCCAACAUCAUCGCUCGGCAUCCGUACCGCCUCUGCAUUGAAUCAUUUGAUAAAAAAUAGUCUAAACAAACCAUACGAAGGCUCCAAAUUGUAAAUGAAAUAGGAAUAAUCUGAAUUGAAGAAACAUUUUUUGCUCUGUUUGCAUUUACACUUGCCAAAAUAUUUCCGUUUUGUAAAUUGAUGAAAGUUUUUUGUUAAACUAAAAAGACAAACUAAAACAAACUAGUGUUUGAAACGCUAGAAACAACCCCGUCAGUUAUGGUCUAGUGGUUGGGAGCAAGGGUGCCAAAGCUCUGUAAAUGGUCGCCUCUCUAAUUCGAUCUAAUACAUACAAACAUGUUAGGCGAGCUGGCUUAUGGACCUAAAGUCUGAAUGAUUCACAUGAUGAGGGUAUUAAACGAACCAUCAUCCCAGUAAUGUCUAAUACCUAAGGUCCAGAGUAUCUGAGUUAACCAAAAGAAAAAAAAAACCUAAAACGUGGUUGAUAGGGGAAUGAUACCUGGAAGAACAAAUCGGUAGGCCAUCGGAGAGAUUUAACCGUCCAGUAAGCUAAUUUGUCCGGUAAAGUCGAUGGAACAUGAUGCUUCUUCAAAUCUAUCGUCAGAUCUGCUUUAUACGUCUCCCACGGCUACCAUUAUUAUACCACACAAAAAUAAUCGAAUCAUACACACAAGUAUAUUACAAUAUAAAACCAACCAAGAGUAAACAAUGCAGAACAAACAGAUUCUUGUUUUGUAAUAUAUACCCGAAAGCAGCUCCAUUUCCAUUCAGUUCCAUCAUCUUUGGUGAUCUUCAUAGGCUUCACUCCCCAAUAGCUAACGACCAAUUGCUCCCCUUUGUUCCCUUGAUCACCCUUGCCACCACUUGAACCUUUCUCCGAUUGGUUAUCCUCCGUUUUCUUCUUCUCAAAUGUCAUCUUGCUGAAUUCUCUCGCCGGAACCCUAGAAUUUAAAAGAUGGUUGGGAGACACGGCACUGGAAGAGAAGAGCCUUGGUCCAGCAGUUACCAUUACCUUAGCUCCAUAGCGACUCAUCAUCAUUGUGUAGAUCAAAGAUUAAUCAAAAAUGUUUUUAUUUUUUUUGGCAUUUUGUAACUCAUAAAAUGCUAUUUAUUUAUAGCAGUUACGGAUAUGCAUAACGAUAAAAUCGCCAACAAUCUGACCAAAAGACUUGUCUAACACGAAAAUAAAACAUUUACCGAACAAACCGCAACAAACGUUUUCAAGUAUUCAUUUCCUGGUUGACUAAAAAGACGUGUAGCACAAGUAUUCAUUUCUUGGUUUAUGCGCAAAAAAACAUAUCAAACCAAAGAGAGACAAACUUAGAAAUAGUAUGUUUGAUUACAUAACUACAGAUUUAUAUAUAUAUAUAUAGCCCGACUCCUUGUAUCCCUUAGUAAACUACUCUACCCGAUAAAACAAAUCCUCCUAGGAACACCACUUAUUGCCGGGUCGGGUCAAAACAUACCCAACACUUCUCAGUACGACCUUUUACCAUCGUUUGAGCCAAAGCCACCAAAGCUGCUCCUUCCACCUGACUGAGAAGAACGAUCUGAACCAAAGCCCCCGAAACCAGAAGAACGGUUGCUACGGCCACCACUGCUGCCAUAAUCAUCUGACCGACCACCAAAGCCUCCCCUUCCGCUUGACUGAGAAGAACGAUCCGAACCAAAGCCCCCGAAACCAGAGGAACGGUCUGAACCGAAGCUCCCAAAGGCAGAGCGCUCCGAACCACCAGAAUAACGGUUGCCUGAACCACCUGAACGGCCACUGCUGCUACCGUAACCACCAUAACCCCCACCACCUGAACGGCCACCAAAGCUUGAACUGCGAUCUCUCAUGCCUCCUCCAAAAGACUCACCAGAUCGACCACCUAUUCCUUCAUAUAUGCUUCCACCACGUUCCACAGCAAUGCUAGGGAGCUGAAUACAAAAACCCAAUAGAAGAUACAAACAGUUAUAAUUAAUCCAAGCAUUCAACAAAGCAUGCAAAGAAGGUUAUAUUAACCUCAGUGAAGCGGCUCCCGACUUCUCUCUCAAUUAUUUUAACAGCCCUGGAUUGAUCUUGACUGUAGAUGAGAAUAGCACUUCCUUUCUUCCCAGCACGUCCUGUUCUCCCCGUUCUGUGGACAAACGUCUCCGUGUUAUUUGGAAGCUCAUAAUGAAUCACCUAAUCACAAUCGCAAGAAGAUAAAGUUUAGUAUAGAUGAGGAACAUUCAUUCUCGUUCAGAAGAAGUACAAGUGUAGUUUUGACUAACCAAAUCGACAUUAGGAACAUCAAGACCGCGGGCAGCAACAUCAGUGGCAACAAGAAUGUUGAAAUGCCCAUCACGGAAACCAGCAAGUGUUCUUUCCCUCUGACUCUGAGAUAUGUCACCGUGUAAAGGUUCACACUUGAAGGUUCUUGCCAAGCCAUAUGAAAGGCGAUCAGCAUCCCGUUUUGUCUGGGUGAAAACAAUGCAUUUUCCUCCUUUAGCAUGCUCCUACAAAAGCAAACGAUAUUACAAAUACUGCAAGAUAAAGAAAAAUCACAUAUCCGUUAAAGAAAGCAUACCGUUACAAGAGGACCGAUAAUUGAAGCUCUACCAUAAGAAUCUGCCAUGAUAGAAUAUGUUGUAAUUCCAUCUGCGAGCUUCUGAUCAGAAUCUCCAACCUAUACAACACAUGACAGUUAGGUAUAAGAUAACCUAAAAGUUCACAAACGAUAAGGCACUUCAUCAACAACCCUCAUAAACCCCAAGAUCAAUCAUUAAAGGCUCUGAGAAAUUUCACGUAAGUAACACAAGCAGUUACGAGGCUACUCACCAGAUCAAUUGUCAAAGGAUCAUUGAGGUACUUUUUGGUAAGCGAUCUGAUCCAACUCGGCAUUGUUGCAGAAAACAUCAUGCUCUGACGUUUCUCAGGCAACCUUUCCAAUAUAAUCUCAACAUCCUCCGCAAACCCGACUUGAAGCAUCUGAUCAGCUUCAUCGAGAACCACAAACUGAACCUCGGAAAGAUUCAAAGCUCCUCGCUUAAUGAGAUCAAUGAUACGACCAGGAGUACCAACAGCGACAUCAACACCAUAGUCAAGCUGCCUCAUCUGCUGUCCAAUGGGAGUACCUCCAUAAACACAAAUAGUAUCCAAGCUUGGAGCAGACUCCCUAAACUCCUUCUCAACUUGGCGAGCAAGCUCCCUUGUCGGCGCCAAAACCAAGCAAAGAGGAUUCCUCCCACGUCUGUCAUCACAUCAAAAAGGCAACAACUUAAGACCCAAAUGAAAUCAAUGAAACCUCAAAUGAUCGUUAUAGAUUGACAAACCCAUGUUUGGCGUUGAAUUUGAUGAUCUUGUCAAUGAUGGGAAUCCCAAAAGCAAGAGUCUUUCCAGUUCCUGUCCUAGCACGACCAAUCAUGUCACGGCCUUGCAUAGCUGGCUCAAGCACAGCUUUCUAUUCAACCAACAAACAUGACUCAUUUCAUUACUACACACAAUUCAAGAACAUGAAACACGAAUGGAGUCUAAUUUUUUUUUAAAAAAUCUACCUGAAUCGGGAAGAGUUUCUCGAUACCCUUAGCACUCAAAGCUUUGACGAUCUCAGGAGAUAUCCCAAGCUCAGCUAUCGCGAGCCCAUCGCCACUGCUCUCGGAAUCUGCAAUUGCUCUGUCGCUAGUCUCAGAUAUCGCAAACCCCGCAGGAGACACCACCGUCGAUCUGAACUCCGACGGCCCAGAUUGAAAAUGAAAUUCCCUCGAUUUAACACCAAACUGAUUCCCGAGAGCGAAGCUAGGCUUGCCAGUUGGAGCUAGAUCGGAGACUUUGGCGGCGGCAGAAGGAGUAAAAUGGUGAAAUAGAGCCGCGUUGAUGGAGGUCAGCGAUGCGGAGAGUGUCCGCCUUGACGCAUCGAGGCAAGAUCGGCGGAGUACGGUUGCGAUCAUUUCGGAUUCAGAUAAGGAAACAGCAAACCCUAGAAUCGAAGAUUGGGGAUUUAGAGAGAGAAGGCGAAGAAGGGUUUAGAUCUGUGCGGGUUCAAGGGUUUAAUGUUGGUUUUCAGGGUCGGGUCGCUCCAAUAAUAUCCCGCGCGUUCAGGCCCAUAUGUAAACGGACGGGCCUAAUAAGGCCUUGGAGUUAAAUUUCGGAAUAAAGUUUAGGGAUGAAAACAAUAAUUUUAUAUAGGUUGAGGAUUUAUUUGUUAAAUAGACCUUUUUAUUCAAUAGAAUUGAGAAAGGGUUCGAAGCUUUAAAGGAAAAGCUUGAAUGCCACUUCUUCUUGUUACUCCCAAAGCUAGCAGUGAUCAGGUAUGGGGUUUCAGUAUGUAGUGUAUACAGUGUAUAAGGUGUGGGGGGAAUUAGUCGAAGGUUGGACCUAAGACGAUGAAGGUGUACACAACAAACCAGAUGAAAUCAGAUAAUGCUUAGAGAUCAAUCUUGGUGGUGAAACAGAAGACUCCUUUUAAUUUGCUCAAACUUGCAUUAGUGAAAAUCUCUUCAAACAGGUAAUAUAACACACAAUCUUGAUGAUGUAUCAAUCAUCACAAUACUUGAUUAACCCAUGUUGUGGUUGUAUGUGGUGCAGGAGGCAGAAAUGCUUGUGAACAUUAAAGCACAUAUUCUUGUUCCGGAGCACCAAAUUCUUACAACUCAGAAAAAGCUUUACUGGAGAGACACACUGUUAAGGUAACACAUGUUAGUAGUUUUACUAUAUAGAAAUAUAAAAUCAUUGGUAAUGAGUGAGCUUUUAGUUAGUAUUUAUAACAAUCUAGUAUAAGUUAGUACGCAUCGAACAAUCUAUAUAUACAUUUAAACUAGGUGUUUUCCUGCACCAUGUGCAGUAAGUAACUUUUUAAACUUAACUUAUAUUUAAAAAUAAAUUUUAUUAAAUAUUAUAGAUUUUACUAUUUUCUUACUAAUAUUUAAUAUAAAUUUGAUAUAUAUUAAAUCAAUUUGUAUAAAACUAAUAAAAAUAAUAUAAAAUUGUAUAAUUAUCAAAAAUUUAGCCUAAACAAUAUUUAUAAAAUUUGUAGCUGUAUAAGAAACUAAUGAUCUUACGAUUAGAUAUUUAAAUUUUUAAAAAAUUGUAGAAAUUUUUGAAAGCUUUAGUAAUACAAAUUGUAUAAUUAUACAAAAAUAAUAAUAUUUCGAAAUUUAAAAUUUAUAUAUGAAUAUAUUUAUUUUAUAGAUAAUGUAUGAGUUAUUACCAUAUUUUAAAAAAAAUCUACCAAAAAGAAAUAUCAAUAUUAAAUGUAAUAAAUGAAUUAUUACCAUAUUCUAAUAAGUUUGCCAAAAUAUAAAUCAACAUUAAAUGAAAUUAUCCAUGUCAUAUUUUUCCGGAAGCUAUGUCAUCAAUUUCAGUAAUCAUGUCAUAUUUGUUUUGUGAAAUUGAUUGUAAAAAGGAUAUGUGGCAAAACCACUUCGUAAAUAUAGUCUUGGAGAUAUGACUGAUAAGAAAUAUAAAUACGUUUAUAAAUACAUUUAUUCAUUUACAUAUAUACAAACAAAGAGAUAUCUAUAUAUUAGUUGUUUAAAUCAUAUAAUUGUAUAAAAAUUUAAGUAGAAAAUUUAACACUAAUCUUAUCUUCAUCGGCCUUUCAAUUUUGGUCGCAAAAACCCUAAAAAAAUUAUCUUUUUUUUUUGUACUUAUCAACAAUAGUAGUCUUGUGUCUCUCUAUGCCGGUAAGUUCACGCUAUCUCUAUCUGUUACUCAAAUUAAACUGCUUGUUCACUGCAUUUUCCUUGUCCAGGAAUCAGUACACCUUCGUCCAUUGUUUUCGUUUUGCAGGCGCAGAGAUAGUAGUGUUGUGGGACACUUUUGAUAGUCACAUCCCUAAUGAUUUCACUGAUGUUUUGAUGAUCACUCAAUCGGCUCUUAAAGAAAAGGGUAUUUAUGGUAGAUUCAAAUUCAGGGCUUAUGCUAGUGACCCGGCCAACUAUCCUGGAUUUCCUGUCUUUUGGAUAAACGAAGGUGAAUGUCUAUACACUUUUUUUUUUUUAAAUUUGCUUUUGCUUUUUAUGUAUCUAUUGAUCUUUGUGUUUACAUGAUCAUUGUUCAUCAUUAACUUUUUUUCUUUUCAGAUAGUCGUUUUUAGGUUAGCCAAAUUAUAGAAUAGUUAGUUUAUGUUAUGUAAGAAACACUUGUAUAUGUGAUAUUUGAUAAUGACUAGGUAUAUAUAUGAGUUAAAGAUCUAUACAAUCUGCCCCACUACUUUGUUGAAUUUCUAUUUAGAUAACAAUUCGAUUAGAAGUUCUUCUUUUUUAUCUGUGAAUUAGCUAAAAAAAUGAUUAAAAUAGAACGAAGAAUUAAAAGAAAAGAAUGGUUCACAAAAAAAAAACAGCAUAAAAAGCCGUAUAUAUAUUAUGCAUUUUUCAAAAUCAUGUGGAGGAACUAAUAUAAUUCUUAUGAUUUAAUAAUAUAAUUCUAUUAUUUCAAAAUAUAAUGAUAUUAUUUCAAGGUAAAGAUGCUAGACUUUUGAGCAUUAUUCUGGUCUUAAUUGCUCAUGCAAAUUAAGAUUGGGAUAGUUUAAAAGGGAUAUUCGGUUAUUGAAUUCCAGAAGCACAUUCAAUGUUCUUCUAGCACAUCUUCCUCUUCUUCAAAAUGCAUCAUCAUCAUCAGGAGAGCUUAUUGAUAAAGAAUGGCUUUGCUUCCGUCUUUCAGUUGGAGAAGCACUAAUGAACGACCAUGUUUGGCAUAGGGAAAACUUUUAAAGAUGAACCACCUUUGAAUCAAAAUCCUAAACCUCUUCCUUCGCAGGUUGCUUGGGUGUCAUUUGCAAUGCCAAAUGAUGGUUACACAUUAUGCCUUAGUAGACAUAUGAGUAAGAUCUUUUGCUUGUCUGUUAAGAUGUAUGUUUAUUUUUGCUGACUUUGAAUGGAUCACUCUCGCAGCCCAAAGAGCAAUAACAUGGGUCUUCUCCGACACCAAUUAUUUCUCACUCCCUGUUGGUCUCCAUUUCUUUGAUGUUUGGCAAAACAUUUGUCUAAUUCUUUCAUUUUGGAUUUUAAAUGAAUACAAUUAAAUUUGAUAGAAACCAAUUAUUUUAAAUUUCAUAAACUAUUUGAACCUUUAUAUAAAAAGGCAAAAAGAAUGGACAUAAUCUUCACUAAUAAAAAUAAUAAAACCAUAAUCAUUUCUAUAACAAAUAGAUAGACAGAUAAUCAUUUUAAAAGUCUAAUAAAAACUCCACUAACAAAAAUAAUAAAAAAGCCAAUUAUUUUAUAUAAUAAACCUACAUCAAUAUAAUAUGGAUUAUAGCGAAUAAUAUACUUUCUUCAAAAGAUAAUAUAAAUUCGAUAGCGAAUAUUACAUUUUCAAAUCUAUCAUAUCAAUAUGUUUGACGUACAUAUCUAAUACAUAAAUUCUAUAAAGAAUUAUCUUCAACUCCUAACUUAAACCUUAAGAAUAGUUACUUAUAUUUUAUAAUUAAUUUUUCCAUUAAAUUAUUUUCGAAUACAAUUACCAUGAAAUUCACCAAAAAUUGAAUAACACAAAUAUUUAAUAUAAUUAGAAAAUUAGUGAAUUGAAUAACACUAGAAUCUAAAGUAUUUUAAAGGAAUGAUUUCAAAUACAUAAUCUAAUAACACCAGAAUUUUUAAAAAAUUGAUGAAAUACAUAAUUGAAUAACAAAAAAAAUUAAUGGAAACUUCAAUUAUGUCAAAUUCAAUUGAACUUCUAAAUUGAAUACCUCCAUCUAAGUCUGUAAACCAAACGAAAUCAGGGUAUCAGCUAAUGUAACUAGACUAAACCGGAUUACAUAAUAUAAAUUGAUAUUUCCCUUCAGAGGUGUACAAUAUUGAACACCCAUCUUGCUAAUAAUUUUCCGAAAUGGAGUUGAAUACAAUGCUUUGGUUAAUAUGUCUGAAAGUUGAUGAUCCGGGUGAACAAACAUUGUCUUUAACAUUCCAUUUUCAGUCGCCUCACAGACCUUUUGGCAAUCAAACUCGAUGUGUAUUUUUUCUCUGAUGAUAAACAUAUUUGCUUGCAAUGUGAGCAGCUGUGUUAUCACAAUAAAUCUAAGCAGGAGGAGAGAAAGGAACACGAAGAGCUUUAAGAAUUUGAGUAAGCCAAAUAAUCUAUUUGGUAGCCAUACACAUCGCCAUGUACUCUACUUCAGCUGAACUCAAAGACAACAUACCUUGCUUUUUAGACUUCCAUGAAAUCAAAGAAUCACCAAAGAACAUAGCAUAGCCUGUGACUGAUCUUUUACUGGACAAGCACCCCAAUCAGAAUCCAAAUGAGCUCUGAGAUCAAAGUUAAUGUCAUUGCCGUAGAAUAAACCUUGUCCAAUGGUUCCUUUCAAAUAUCUCAGAAUCUUGUGGAGAGCUUUUAAAUGAAUAUCACGAGGAGGAAAUGAGUAUUAAGCAAGAGGCAAAGCAAUGUAUGACCGUGCUAUAGUAAGAUAUUGAAGGUUUCCAAUCAAUCUCGUGUACUGUUUUCAAUCAUCAAGAACUAUCCCAUAUUCUUUGAACAUAUUAUGGUUUGGUUCCAUAGGUAUGGGCGAUGGUUUACAUCCAGAAAAACCGGAAGCUUCAAACAAAUCCAAUACAUACUUCCUCUGUUUCAGAGUAAAGAAAAAACUUAGGAGGACUAAGAUCUCUUAAAUGAAAUGCUAAACCAAGCUUCACUAUCAACUCCGUAGCAUCUGUGGAUUGAGAGCUUGCAAUAAUAAUAUCAUCUGAACACACACUCACCACCAAGAAAUUACCUUCAUGUUCCAUAAGAAACAAAGUAUGAACACCAUGACAUUUCUCAAACCGAAGAGCAACAUAAGUUUGGAGAAAAUAAAUUUGAUAAACCAUUGGCGAGAAGCUUAUUUCAAACCGUACAUAGAUUUGUGAAGUUUGCAAACAGCAGUUGGUGAAACUUGUUCCCCCUGAAUCUCUGUGUAACUUGGUGGAAGUUUCAUAUAUAUUUUUCUUCUAAAUCACAAUUAAGAAAGGCAUUAGAGAUGCCAAUGGCCGUAUCAUUGAUCUCAUUAAACGAGGAGCUCUUAAUCUUUCUGAGGUUCAGUUGUGGUUUGAUCAGAUGCUUCAAGUUGGGUUUGCCGAGGAUGUCGAGAUCAUAUUGGAAAGGUUGCCUGAGAAACGUCAGAGCAUGAUGUUUUCUGCAACAAUUCCGAGUUGGAUCAGAUCGCUUACCAAAAAGUAUCUGAAUGAUCCUCUGACAAUUGAUCUGAUGAGUAGCCUCGUACCUGAAAUUUCUCAGAGCCUUGAAUGAUUGAUCUUGGGGUUUAUAAGGGUUGUUAAUGAGAGGUGCCUUAUCUUUUGUGAACUUUUAGGUUAUCUUAUACCUAACUGUCAUGUGUUGUAUAGGUUGGAGAUUCUGAUCAGAAGCUCGCAGAUGGAAUUACAACAUAUUCUAUCAUGGCAGAUUCUUAUGGUAGAGCUUCAAUUAUCGGUCCUCUUGUAACGGUAUGCUUUCUUUAACGGAUAUGUGAUUUUUCUUUAUCUUGCAGUAUUUGUAAUAUCGUUUGCUUUUGUAGGAGCAUGCUAAAGGAGGAAAAUGCAUUGUUUUCACCCAGACAAAACGGGAUGCUGAUCGCCUUUCAUAUGGCUUGGCAAGAACCUUCAAGUGUGAACCUUUACACGGUGACAUAUCUCAGAGUCAGAGGGAAAGAACACUUGCUGGUUUCCGUGAUGGGCAUUUCAAUAUUCCUGUUGCCACUGAUGUUGCUGCCCGUGGUCUUGGCGUUCCCAAUGUCGAUUUGGUUAGUCAAAACUACUCUAGCACCUUUUCUGAACGAGAGUUAAUGUUCCUCAUCUAUACUAAAACUUUAUCUUCUUGUGUUUCUGAUUAGGUGAUUCAUUAUGAGCUUCCAAAUAACACGGAGACGUUUGUCCACAGAACGGGGAGAACAGGACGUGCUGGGAAGAAAGGAAGUGCUAUUCUCAUCUACAGUCAAGAUCAAUCCAGGGCUGUUAAAAUAAUUGAGAGAGAAGUCGGGAGCCGUUUCACUGAGGUUAUAUAAUAUGUGAAUCUUUGUAUUCUUUGUUUCUUAUGUUGAAUGCUUGGAUUAACUGUUUGUAUCUUAUAUUGGGUUUAAUAUUCAGUUCCCUAGCAUUGCUGUAGAACGUGGUGGAAGCAUGUUUGAAGGAAUAGGUGGUCGAUCUGGUUCAAGCUUUGGUAGUCCUUCAGGUGGUGGUUACGGUUGUACUAGUGGCCGUUCAGGCAACCGUUAUUCUUCUGGUGGUUCAGAUCGUUCUUCUCAGUCAAGUGGAAGGAUCAGGUUUGGUGGUGGUUUUGGCUCAAACGAUGGUAAAAGGUCUUACUAAGAAGUGUUGGGUAUGUUUUGACCCGAACCUACAGCCGUUUUGUACAAAACGAAUUUUUGAGUAUGAACCGAUAUUAAUAGAUGACUAGAGUUUGAGCAGCGGGGAAUUAUUAUUUCUGUUACCAAUUUUUUAUUCAGUAAUUAAUUAGUCAAUGUUCAAUAUUCGAAAAUAUUCUGCAACUAUAUUAGUCUGUUAGUUAAUGGGUUCCUAAAUUAUCGUCUUAAAAUAUAUUGAAAAUUUUAAAAUAAUUAUAAUUUGUAAGAUAUUCAUAUUUUUUAAAGAACAAAUUUUAUAUGUUUGAUAAUGAGUUGAUAAAACAUGAAUUGUAUCAUAUGUAUUCAAAAUAUGAGUUUUGAUUUUGCAUUAACCAGGAAAUGAAAAAAAAAUCAUUUAAAAUAUUUGAGGAUCCACAAAGUCUUGAUUUGUUAUGAAUGUUGUAACUGAUAAUAAGUGUCCUUAUACCCUGUAGAGUUAUUGCCCAAGAUGCGGUGCAGAGGAAAAAACCAAUUUUUGAAUGUCCCUCAGUUCUACAGACAUGGGCACUUGCAGCUACGCCAACUCCGCCUCUAGUGUUCCCUUGCGCUAGUCACUAUAUAAAUAUGGACUAUCUAUUUUGGCGGAAAAAUGAUAUUGAAGAUCCUGAGUUAGAUAAAGACCCAUAUCCAUGGAUCAUACGGUACUUUUGAAAAGCGUGAAAUGAUAAAUUUUUUAGAGGAAUAGACAAAGACCCAUUGGAAACUGUCCGACAUGCAGAGUCAGAAUGCCAUGCGUGGUUUGAAGCCAACCGAAAAGAGGAAGAACCAAUGCCACCAACACAUCCUGAACAAAUACCAAUCUCAGAGAGAUGCAUGGUGGAUGGAUCAUGGACACAUGACACACUCUUUAGUGGAUAUGAGUGGACAUAGAUGACUGCAGGAGGAGUAAUUCAACUAUUGGGAGCCAGGAACCAACUAAGAAGGAUCUCACCCCUUCACUCUGAGCUUGAGGCCCUAUUAUGGGUGAUGGAAUGCAUGCUGCAACUAUCGACGUGUCAGUAUUUUGGCACCGAUUGUAAGGACCUAGUCUCGAUGAUUCAAGUUCCAGGAGCAUGGCCUAGCUUUUCCACGGAGUUAAAUGAGUUUUCGAAGCUGAAGAGUAGAUUCUCAGCGUUCUCAAUUGUUUUUAUCCCUCGUUCUGAAAAUGUAUCGUCUGAUUCAUUAGCUAAGAUAACACGAUCCUUUCAUAGGACUCUGUACUACAUUGAUUGUUCUGUUCCGAUCUGGUUUCCCAGACCACAUCAAGUUUGAGUAAUAGAAUAGCCGUUUGAAUAAAAAAAAAAACAUGUAGAGUUAAUUAUUGCAUUGCUUUGGUGUAUAAUUAGAAUGGCGCAAGGACAAUUUUAAACUGAAAAUGAAUAAUAACCUGUAGAGUUAUGGUGGCAUAUGGGUUUGUGUAUUCUUAGAAUGAUGUAAGUUGUUUUGAUAGUCUUUAUAAGCUGUAGAGUAAGUAAUGUGUUAAUGGGGCCUCAACGAUUUUGUUAUAAAACAUGAGUAACAUUUAUUUUUCUUCAGAAUGAACCCAUAUCUAAUAGUCAUAUUUAUUGUAACCAAUGUAUUCUAAAAUAAGUUAGACGUUUGUUGUUCAUACAUAUGAUGCAACUUCCUGAAUAGUUCCCUUAGAUCAUUUACGUGAACUGAAUUAAAUUGGAUAUUAAUCUUGGUCCAAAAACUAAAAAAAAACCUUAAUGAAAAUUCUAAUCAUAGUUAAAAGUAGUGUUUGUUGUGCAAAUUUUAUGUUUCAAUUAUACUUUUCAUAAUUUUUUUUGCAAAAUAAGUAAAUUAGUAAUGGCACAAAAAAUUCUAAGAACAUAUCUGCAUUUAAUAAUGUGAUCAUAAUUCAUUAAUUUGAUUAAUGAUCAUGAUUUAUUGUUGGAAUAUUAUUUAGUUAAUACAAAAUACAAUGGAUAAAGUUUGGGAGAAUUGCCAAGUGUGACUCAAAACUUUGAGUCAAACCCAAAACAAUACCCCAACUUGGGUCAAAGGCAAAAGUAACCUAAAAGGCUAUUGAAAUUACAACUAUCCCCUUGUGACCAAACAAAAAAACGGAAUUCUUUUUACGUUUCUACCCCUCGCAAGUCGUCUGUUUAGACGACUUGAAAAUAAGUCGUCCAGACGACUUAACUUAAAGUCGUCUGGACAGUUAGUCUUAAACAUAAUUUAAAAAUUUUGUAAAAAAUAUUUUGAUAAGUGAAAAAUGGGAAUUAUGUAAUUAACAUAUGUCUUAGGAGGUAUAAAUUAAGAUAUAACAAAUUUCAAUUGUUUUCAGCAUAGAUGAGUGAAAGUAGUGAGUCAUGAUAUUCUUAAGUUUAUGUUUCAUCAACAUAUGUUGUAGUAUUGUAUGUGUUCUUAGGGUUAGAUUUUGGAAAGCAUUAAAACCGUUUUUGAAAAUUUUUAAAAUUACUUAUGCGUGUUCAUUUCUGUGUAUAGUAAACACUAUUUAAGUAUAAUUUGAUUUUAUAACGUGGUUAGUUAGUUAAUCUAGUCAUUUUAGUUUAGGGGUUCAUUUUAGGGUCUAGGACGACUUAAUAUUUUGUCGUCUGAAAACAGACGACUAAAUAUUAAGUCGUCUGUUGUACAUUAUCAGCCAGAAUAAGUCGUCUAAACCGGACCAAACCUUAAAGUUUACCAAUGUAAUUUUAAAGCUAACCGGAUUAUUUACCCAAUAUAUAAGGUGAUUUUUUUUUUUUGUUUCAUUUUUCGCGAUAUUCAGAAACCCUAACAGUUCUCUCUCAAAGGCGAUUUCGAAUUCCCACGAUUUCCGAACAAACCAUCGUUCUCAACAUCGGCUAUCUAUCUCACUUCAUUCUCACCGUUGUCGCCGCAGCUUCUUCUAACCCUAGCGCCGCCGAUUCCUCUAAACCCUAGCGCCGCCGAUUCCUCUAAACCCUAGCGCCGCCGCUUCCACUAUUUCCGAACAAACCGUCGCCCUCGCCACCGUGGUCACCAACGUUCUAAACACUAGCGCCGCCGCUUCUUCUAAACCCUAGCGCCGCCGCUUCUUCUCUGUAAACCUUAGCGCCGUUUCUCUGUAAACCCUAACGCCGCUAAGUCAUCAAUCUCGAGGAAAAGAUGAACAUAAAACGUUGUCUCUAUCAAUUUACUCAUUCUCACCGUUUCACGUUUAUUUUUUCAGAUCUAUAACCGCAAUGACGAGUACUCCAACUCCUUCUGCGACUGGAAGACUUGUAAGUAAUUUAAGUCGUCUGGAAAGUCUUCCAACUGGACGACUUAGUAGAUGACUUAAAUAUAAGUCGUCCAUUUGGAAGACUUUCCAGACGACUUAAUUAUAAGUCGUCUACUAAGUCGUCUGGACUUAUAUUGUUGUCUUUGAUUAUUUUGCAGACAAAAAGGAUGGAUAUUCCAGAACUCCCCCGUAGGUUAUACACAUCAGGGGAAGAACCAGAAGCCCACAAUAGCAUUUCGUAUCAUACGGAUAACAGCAAGUUGCAUACUGCUCUUAGGAAAGCUCUUACUGAUGACGAAUUUGAAGAGCUCAAGGAGUCGAGUUUGGGAGUUUUCAUCAAGUUCAAGGAGCAGGGAUUUGGUUGGGCUUCAAGGCUGGUUCACUACAUGCUCAGUUUCAAGCUGGACAUUAAGAAGAAGUAUGAGAUGUGGUCUCUCGUUGGUCCAGAACCUUUGAGGUUUUCACUGUUAGAGUUUGAAAACCUCACUGGUCUAAACUGCGAGUACAUCGAGGACCUUGAGACACCAAAAUGUGAUGUUACCCCAGAGAUGGUUUCUUUCUGGGGGAUGCUGGGAGUUCAUCUGGAAGCUGGGCCAACUACUGAUCAGAUAAUAGCAGCACUGCAGAGAUGCGGGGAUUGGUCCAGGGAAGAUCGCAAGCGGCUUGCGUACCUCUCCAUCUUCACUGGAUUCAUUGAAGGGAGAAAGUUUUCAACCGCUACACGAUCUACUCUGGCAAGGCUAGUGAUGGAUUUAGAACGGUUUGAGAAUUAUCCAUGGGGGAGAGUCGCAUUUAAGGUGCUGAUGGACUCUUUGUGGAACAAAGAAAUUGCUGGCUGUUACACCGUGGAUGGGUUUAUACAAGUUCUUCAGGUCUGGACGUACACAGCUAUGCCGGAAUUGGGUGCUAGUAUUGGUGGUCCCAGAGCAGACAGUCCGUCUCCACCGAUACUGGCUUACGAGGGCAGCAGAGGCCGCAGAUCAAUGAAAGCUGCUAUCUUGAGUCAGGUAUUUACUUCAAUCCAAAACACUGCGCAGACGACUUAUUAUAAGUUUUGCCCAAGGUGAUAAUAACAUAUUCCUCGGGUUGCCCAAGGAAACACCUUAUCACACGCACUUUUAAUGGCCUUGUGCCGGUCGGAGACUAUCACCAGAGGCUUGUCAUGAGAUAUACAACUAGCCAAUUUUGUGAAAAACCAUUCCCAAGAAGGUAUAUCUUCCUCAUCCACGAUCCCAAAAGCCAAUGGGAAUAUCUGAAAAUUGCCAUCUUGUGCGGCUGCAACUAACAUAGUUCCUCCAUACUUUCCACUUAGGUGAGUUCCAUCCACCACAAUGACCCUUCUCUGAUACUUAAAACCUUUGAUAGAAGCUCCAAAAGAGAGAAAUAAAUACUUAAAUCUUUUCAUAGAAUCAAGUUCUAUCGCCGUGAUAGAAUCAGGAUUUGCAAUGGAGAUUUGCUCGAGAUAUGAUGCCAGACGCGAAUACCCUUCUUCUGCUGAUCCUCUCACCAAUCUUUGUGCAUAUAACAGUGCUCUGUAUGAAGUGGUGUAAUCAAGCGCCAUGCCAAACAGGUUCCUCAUUGCAUCAGUGAUAUGCUGCGGAGUUAUCCCAUCAAUGAUUCCAACACGAUCAAUGAAAAGACUACCUACAUACUUCGGAGUACAGUGUCUCCGCUGAGCGAUUCGGUCUCCCGCUGAGCAUAAAUGUUUUUCCACAUACUUUGUUACCCAAAACGUGUUUGUCCCAUGUUUGACACUCGCUCUGACCUUCCAUCCACAAUAGCUAACCGGACAUGUUGCCACAACGAGAGUUUUCGUUGAUUUGUAUAAUUUGAAAGAAAACUUACCCCUCACUGCUGCCAACCGCAGCUCUGAAAGCAGAGCACCCUUGCUAACAAAACUCUGGUUGACAUAGAUACUGGUACCAUUCGAUUUUCCUCCUUCAAUAGCAUUUGUCUUAGCAUAUGUCUUUUGGAUUUCUUCAAAACAAAUAUUAUCAUCAUCUUCCUCGUCCUCAUCUGGAACCUUUCCAUAAAGACUGUAAUCCCCACCAUUCUGAUCCGUUUCACCAACAAUAGAAUUAUCAGCAUCCUCCUCCCCAUUUUCCUCCUCCCCAUCUUCUUCCCAUUCACCAGCUUCAUCAUUAUCACCAACAUCUUCUUCCCAUUCACCAGCUUCAUCAUUAUCACCAACAUCUUUUUCCCAUUCACCAGCUUCAUCAAUAUCCCUUUUCUCUGAAACCGUUUCGACCUUGCUGCGGCUUGAUACACAAAGACAUACUCUAUGGGUUUUGAGUAUCUCCAGCAAGUUUCGAACUUGUCUAUCACUUGUAACAUGAAUGGGAAGACUGCCUGGAGCCAUCAUCAUUUCUGCUGGUAAUGAGUAGCUAAUCUCCACACUCACCGUUCUCAUGUCCAGGUUAUAAUCUUCUUGAGCCAUUGCAACAAGUUCAGCAUGUGUUGAAUCUUCAUUCAAUAAAAACAAUCUUCCUCCUUUGAGAUCAUCAACCACAAAAUCCCAACGGAAAUCUCUCAACAACCAUUCUCCAUACACUGCAUGUAACUGAAAAAUCAUCUGCAAAUAUUCAAAAUAAAACACAUUAGUAAACAUAGAGAAAAGGGAAAUGAAGAAGUUCAAUAAACAUUGCCGCAGACGACUUAGCAUUAAGUCGUCCAGAAGACUUAAAGGUAAGUCGUCUAAAGAGGUCACUUUUGCAAUUGAAAAUUAAAAGGGACGACUUAAUUCUAAGUCGUCCGACUUUGUUUGUUAAAAAAAAAACUUCAGACGACUUAUAUAUAAGUCGUCUACGAGAAACGGGCUAGUUUUGCAUUUGACCGAAUCGUGUCAGAUCUUUGACUAUCUCUGGACGACUUAUAAUUCAGUCGUCUCUGGGAAAGUUAAAAUUUCAAUAUUUUAUGAAAACUUGACGACUUACACGUAAGUCGUCCUAGGUUAGUUUUGUAAUUGAAAAAUAAAACUUGAAAUUUAACUUUCUCCAGACGACUUAGAUGAAAGUCGUCCAGCUAAACGACUUAAUUUAAGGUCGUCCGGGAUAAGCAAGGUUUGACCAGAAAAUUGGGAAAAAUUCUGGACGACUUUGCUUUCCCCGGACGACUUUAAAUUAAGUCUUCUGGAGGGACGACUUUAUAUUAAGUCGUCUGGUUAAAGUUAAAUUAUGAAGUUUUAUUUUUCAAUUACAAAACUAACCUAGGACGACUUACACGUAAGUCGUCAAGUUUUCAUAAAAUAUUGAAAUUUUAACUUUCCCAGAGACGACUGAAUUAUAAGUCGUCCAGAAAUAGUCAAAGAUCUGACACGAUUCGGUCAAAUGCAAAACUAGCCCGUUUCUCGUAGACGACGUAUAUAUAAGUCGUCUGAAGUGUUUUUUUUAACAAACAAAGCUGGACGACUUAAUUUAAGUCGUCCGUUUGACCAGAAGACUCAUCAGUAAGUCUUCUACAUACAGAUGACUUACUAGUAAGUCUUCUACGCGAACAGAUCUUGAAAAAAAAUUCAAAUUCGUACCUUAAACUAGGUGAGAUGACUUUGUUUGCACACAGGGUCUUCUCCAACCACCCAGAACCUCAAACGAAAGCAACCGUAAGUCAAAACGAAAGAAAUAUGGCUCUGCAACCAUAGCCCAUAUUUUGAAUCAAAAGCUUGAGUUUUUUGGAUGAAUAUAGAGAGAAAGUGAAAGAAAUGUUGUUUUUAGUUCAUAACAAUUGAAACAGAGAGAGUGUAAAGAGAUUUACGUGCAUUAAAGGGCAUUAAAAGCUCCAAACAGUUCGUACAAGGUUGUUGCCACUAUUCAUUGCAGUGGCAGUAUUGUAAAUACUUGAAGAAGAUGAGGUUGAGACAGUAAAGAAGCCAUUUUCGAAAAAAAAAAAAAAAAAAAUGUUAAUGGCAUUUUCGUAGAUAAAGUGCAGGUGUGGGGUUAAAAUCUCAAAAAAAAAAGGAGUCAAAAGAAAAGGUUAGUUUUCUGUUUGACUCCAAGUUUUGAGUCACUUUUGCAAAAAGCCCAUAAAGUUUUUUAAAAACAGUUCAAAUAAAAAAUCACAUAUGAAAAAGAUGUAUGUUUUAGUAUAUGAGAUUUAGGGCAUGACUACUUCAAACGCAGCGGUUACGGUUGCGGCUUCGAGAGUCUGCGGAAACGGGCGGUCGCGGUUUCAAGCGUUAUUAAGUGUUUCGUAUGACUGGCGGUUAAUUAUAAAAUUGGUUUAGAGAGGUUUAGACCGGUGUAAAGCGGUGUAAAGCAAAGCGGUUUGUACUAUUUUUUGUGAUUAUUGUAAAACACCAACAAUCGAUAUCAGCCGCAAAAGUUGUGUUUGCAAGUGAUAGCAGAGAAACCAGCCAGACCCUUAAUGAGAGGUUUGAGGAAACUGGCAAAAUAGGUUAUAUUUAAUAUAAAUUUGUCCAUGUAUAACUUUCUACUAGUUUGUAAAUAUUUAAGAAAAUUACUAUUAUUUUAAUGAAAACAAUUAAAAAUAUAUAUAUUGAGGGGGAUAAUUUAUCCAGAAUAAGAGCUUCCGGGUUAGAACAGGGUGCCAAUAUCUUGGUUCCGGCUUCUGACCUCCGGCCUCCGAGUUCAGGCUUUCAGGUCAAGUGAUUUUUACUGUCUAAUGAUAAAUGGAAUCUUCCUUAGUAUAAGAUACAUAGUUUAGACAAAAACGAAUCUUCCUAAAUCUGAGAGAAAAAAUAAGUAUUAUAAUAUAUAUAGCCAUGCUUAAAGAAUUAUAUAUAUAACUUGUAUAAAUGUUAUAUUUUAUACAUUUUAUAAUAUUUAUUGAUUAAAUUUAUUAUACUAGUUAUUAUAAUUUAAAAAGAAAAUAAUUUUUGUAAUGAAAUUAUUAUUAUUUUUUUGGAUUUUUAUUUUUAUUUAAGUUUUAAUUUUAAUUUUAAUUUUCUUUGUAUUGAUCAAAUUGGAUAUUCGGUUAAAAUUUUAAAAUUUUUGGAUAUUCAAGUGACUACGGAUAGAAUCAAAUCGAAUAACUGAUUAUUCAAACGAAAUGUAUAGAAUCAUAAAUAUCUUAAAACCUUGUAUAUUCGAUAAGUGUCCACCUUUAGUUUCAUACUAGGAUAAGACCCGCGCUUUGCGCGGGAUGAUAAUUCGAUUUGAUUUUUUUUAUGUAUUUAACAAAUUCUAUAUAUUUUGCAUAAAAUUAAUGUAUAAAACAUGCUUAAUAUGUUGUAUAAUAUGUUAAAAUUGAUUAAUCAAAGUAGUAUUACGUAUUUUGCAUGGUGCGUUUAUUGUAAAAUAUAUUGAAAACAAACUGAAUUAUAAUUAAAUAUAAUACAAAUUUAUAAUUUUUACAAAAUACAUGUUUGGCUACUUUGUGUUACGUGACUUUCCUGAUUUGUGUUUUUAUUAUUAAAAAAAAGAUGAAUUAUAUCAAAAUAUGGACACAAAAUUUUGAGAAAACAAAGAUUUAUAUCUUUGGGCAAUAACCCAAAACAAAUACAAUAUGGUCCAAUAAAGAUCGAUAAAAUAAAGCCCAUUAAUACAUAAACUAUUCCCGGAAGAGGGUCUCUCCACCACGAAACAUGUUGACAACAAUUAGAUGCAUUUAUUUUCUUUAUUUCUCUGUGUCUUUUAGUAAUCACUUCUUCUUCAGAGUCUCCACCAAUCCAAUGUCCGACGAAACCUUAACGAAAUCAAGACAAAAAGAAGUCUUUUUCUGUUUAUCAAAACAGUUCAUUCUUUUCUCAAAGCCGAUCGAUCUACUCUUCUAAAGGUUUGACUCUUAUAUUUUGGUUUCUAAUCAUACAUAUGAAACAAUUAGGGCUUUGAUUGCUAAUAUAGCUUGAUUUUAUUACUUCCAUUUGUUUAUAUAUCUCUCAUCUCUAAUGGUAGUUCAGCCAUCACCUGAGAAUCUUUCAAGACAUACAAUCGAAAAGUAAUCAUUCUAGACGUGUGAAUGGUAAAGUAUCUAUUUCUCCAUUCUUAUUUUAAGAAUUCCGAAUUAUUAAAACACAAGACAGUUCUAAUCUCUGGGUUUUUUUUUUUGCAAUCCUUUGGGAACUCAACUGAGUUUAAAUAAGAGCAAAUAUGUUGAGCAAAUUAUAAAUUCACCCAAUACUAAGUUCACAGAGUUUGAGUUCCCCUUAUACAUGAUCGGAUGCUUCUUCAGGUAACGACUACUUAGGAGAUGAAAAAUCUAAAUGAUAUUUGUGACAGAUUGUAAUAUCAUUUUAUAUUUGUUUUCAGGACUCAAUUGUUGUCCCUGCAGUAUUUGAUCUAGAUUGCAUAAGAGAGAUGCCACUCAGAUAACAUGGUAAGUUUCCUCCUGCUAUUUACUGAGAUUAAUUGAUAUCAUUUGAAUAAUUGGGGACUGGUUAGUGUAGGAUUGAUCCCCUGGUUAGUGUCCACACUUAGUAAGUAGUAGUAUAUUUGUAUGGGUACUGAAUAAAGCAAAAAUAUUUUAUUUUGUAGAACAGUCUCUUAAAACGUAUAGAAAAAAACCUUGUGAAACACAUAUAAAAGAAAUAAAAACAGAGGAUACUCUUAAACAAAACAGAGCGAUAAGAACCACCUGAAUGGAUCACCGUAAAAUUGAUGAGGAAUUUUGUUUGUCCCUGAUGCAGCACAUGGACGAACUGUCCAACUUCAUCCUUCUUCACGGUUCCAUGAAUGUUAUCACCCUAUUAAAGAGGAACAAAAAAUAGUGAGCAACCUUAAAAACUAUAUGAGACUAUAACAAAAGUUUUUAAGCAAUAUAAAUACUCAUAUAAACUUACUCUAGAAUCCACGAAGACCAUCUCAAUAGUCUCACUACCCGCAGCUGAAUACUGCGUCCACAGCCGGAUGAUUUUAACCUUAACCUGUCACAUUGACUUGAAAGGCCUCAAAUCAGAGAUAUGGUUCAUUGUAGCCAUGUUGAUUUUUUUAGUUUUUUGCUCUGGUUUAGUGAAUGAAGAAAUGACUCAUAUCCUCCUUGGCUUAUAUAGGAGGAAAACUUAGAAUUAAGGAGAAUAUAUGCGUAAUGUAAGGCAUUUAAUGGAAUAGAUUUAGCUCCAAUCACUCUUAAAUCUAAGCAUAAUAUAUUUUCUGUUUGCCAUAGAUAGGUCAUUGAUACAAUAUUCUCUGUAAAUGUAGUAGUAACUUACGGAAUCACCAUAAAUAUUUACCAUAUAUAAGGGAUAUUGUGGGUUCUAAAUAACUAAUUUAGUCAAAACUAUAUAUAUACACUAACCUAAAAUGAAAAUGGCCACAUCGACGACGUAUUUAAUGGACGUACUUAGGUAAGUUAUUAGGCUAGAUACAUUAUGAUCUUAAUUGCAUGAACCGACAUACAAGUGUACUGCAAAUUCAAAGAACAUGGUUUAAAUUCGACCAAUUCGGUUUGUGGUUCAAACAGAGUAUAUACAUCUUUGUGCUUCUCAUCGAGUUCAUGCAGUUAUAAAUAAUGUCGUUGUAGUGUUAUUCUCGUAGUUAAACAUCAUGAUGAAUACAUGAAAACUAUGUUAAGUUGGGUGAAAGAACAGUGUAUUUAGUUCGGUCAAAUUUGACAAAAAACCAUUGUUAAGUCAUAUUCUUUUUAAGUAUUUAUGUCUAUUUGAUUGUUUAGAAUGCAUAUGUGAUAUAGUCUCAUAUAUGUCUGUCAUGCUACAUAUUGCAGGCGAAUGCGGAGUAGUACAUAUGGCUGUGAUUGGUUCAUGGAAGUUAUAUGUCUAACUUCAUCGUAUGAGAGGAGAGUACUCCUCUAUGUAAAUUUAAAUUUUAAUAUAAGGUAAUGUUGAUAGAGAAAGACCAAACGCCAAUUUUGGAUGGUAAUGGCAUUUGAUGUAAAUACUCUAGUGAAGAAUGAGUAGUUUAAUAUGUAGGCUAAGAGUGAAUGUGGUGCUACCACUUCAGUAUGGCAUGCUUUUAAAUAAUUUACAUUUCAAAAGUUGUUUUUUCAAAUUGAUUCUCCGUUAAUAAGAAAGGGAUGAUAAAGCAGGGAGCAACGAAAAUCAAAAAGAUAUGCGGUGAUGGAGCGGUGAGGCUCGUGAUGAGUGUAGCUUUUUGGAUCACAUGAUAAUUGUUUUUUUUUCCUUAGUCAUUGUUACUCCAGACUACUUGAUACUAUUACUGGAGACUUUUUCAAUAACUUAAGGGCGUCAUUUCUAACUCCAAGUCAAACGUAAGAGCCAUUGAGCAUCAUCUACUACAAGGGAUCGUUUUUUGGAACUUUACUAUAGGGAAUCUUGAGACAUGUCCUUCUACUUUUGCCAUAUCACAUGAUGCAUCGUAUCACCGUUGACCGAUCAAUUAACGAAUCGUUCUUUGUACGUUAAGUGUUUUUUUUUUGUUGCAAAUCACCUACAUGCCAUGCAUUUUAGGACUAGGAUCUAAAAACUGUCUCUUUGAUAAGAAAAGAGUAUUAGAGAAACCUCAAUGGUUAAGAAACUCAAAAAGUACGUUUGUCGUUCUAUAAAUAAAUCUACCCCAUCGUUAUUUACAGAUUAACUUCGAAAAAUGAUAGUAAUCUAGCAAUCACAAUUGAGAUAAAAGAAAUAGUCCAAAGCUUUCUUAAUGAAAUGAUCAAUUGAAGAGCAAGCCUGAUAAGAUACAACUUGGAGAAGAAUAUGACGUGGCCAUCUUCACCAUGAUCAAAUCAAUAGUUUCAAUAGUUUAUCUUUAUUUAUUUUAUGUUUAGUGGAUUUGUGUUUCCUUAGUUAGUGGAUGUGUUAGUUGCUUUGCCCACGUUGAAGUGUUGGUUAGUUAAUCUAUUUUGUAUUUAAGAUCAGUUCACGUUAAAUGAAAGAAAGAAGAGAAAAUUUGCAGUAAACUUGUCAUUGAGAACCAAAGUGUUCUUGUUCUUGUGUUCUUGUUUUCAUCAAAAUUGAUUGCCCUUGGCAAGGGACCUAUCAAAGCCACUGUAAAACGCCACGGGUUUCAUGUCACCUAACCCUCUCCCAAAAUAUUGAUCAUGACACUUAUUAGAGAAGAAAAUGCAUACGUCACCCUUCUUUGCAAUGGCUAUAUAAACCCUAGAUUGGCAGAAGGUUCCAUACAACAUAAGAAACACAUCUACAAAUUAACCAUGAAGCAUAUUUGGCUCACAUUAGCUUUUCUAUUGGCUUUGGCGACUUGCAAAGCUGAUGAAGAAAUUAAUUGCGAAGAGAACCUGCCAUUCACAUGUGGUCAAACUGAUCGUUUCAACAGUAGCAGUUUCGAGAAAGACUUCAUCUUCGGUCUUGCAUCUUCUGCUUACCAGGCAUGUAACAUAUCAACCAUUAGUAUUAUGUUGCCAGACGUCAUAUUUUACGUAUCAAACAUCAUAUAUAAACAUUAAAAUCCAACAUUGCAUGGUUGUUUCUUUUCAUUUCAGAUCGAAGGUAGCAUAAAUCGUGGAGUUAACGUUUGGGAUGGCUUCACUCACCGAUUCCCACGUUUGUUUUUUGCAUGGUUUACUCAUCACAUAUACAUAUUAUGUCGGUUAUAUGUCUCCAUGCACGUAUAGUUAUGUAUUUAUUUACUAUCAGAUAAAGCAGGACCCGAUCAUGGAAAUGGAGACACUACUUGUAACUCAUAUUCGUACUGGGAGGUAAUUAAAUUCCUCAAUAUAUGUGUGUGCAUACUAAUAUUACUCACUGAAUUAUUUAUCAACUACCAACCUAUUGUGGAUUGACAUGCGAUUAUAUGUGAACUGCAGAAAGAUAUAGAGGUGAUGGAUGAACUCAAAGCUACUGGCUACAGAUUCUCCAUUGCCUGGUCAAGAGUCAUUCCAAGUAUGUGAACGUUAUUGAUCCAUGUAUAUCAAACAAGUAUAAUAUAAUAAUAAUCUUAUUUAUAGGUUCUUAAAAGUUGCUAAUUAACAUGAUCGUGACACAUGGCGACUAAAAUUUAAGAUUGUGACAUGUGUUAAAAAUAUUAAAUUUUUGUAAUCUUAUUAUUUGAUAAUAUAUAAUUAUAGUUAUCUAAAACUUAUUAUAUAAAGCUUGGUUCUUAAAAGUUGCUAAUUAACAUGAUCGUGACACAUGGCGACUAAAAUUUAAGAUUGUGACAUGUGUUAAAAAUAUUAAAUUUUUGUAAUCUUAUUAUUUGAUAAUAUAUAAUUAUAGUUAUCUAAAACUUAUUAUAUAAAGCUUGGUUCUUAAAAGUUGCUAAUUAACAUGAUCGUGACACAUGGCGACUAAAAUUUAAGAUUGUGACAUGUGUUAAAAAUAUUAAAUUUUUGUAAUCUUAUUAUUUGAUAAUAUAUAAUUAUAGUUAUUUAAAAUAAAGUAUUUAAUAGUAAUUUUUCUUUUUUAUAAAUCCUAAUUAAACUAAAAUUGGAAAGUUUAUUUGAAAGUAAUUUUCCCUUUUAAAAAGAACUUCAUGAAAACAUUAUAUUGAGAUGGUGGCAUAAAUAAAUUGUAAAAAAAGUAACUAUAAAAUAUCUAAAUGUAACCGAAAAUAAUUAAAUGAAAGUAAUUUUAAUUUUCAUAAAUCAUAAACCAAAUAUAACUGUAAAACAUUAUUUUAUAGUAAUUAUUCCAAAUUUUCUUUAUAGAUACCUAACAUAAAGUACUUGAUAGUAAUUUUCCUUUUCUAAAAUCCUAAAUGAAAUAUAGUUAAAUAUAUAUACAUAUAUAUUUAUUAUUUAAAAUAAAAUAUAAGAUAGUAAUUUUCUUUUUUUUUUUAAACAGUUCCUAAACAAAAGAAAGGUUGAAAAUUAUUGAAAGUGAUUUACCUUUAAAAAAAAAUGAGAAAUUGUUUUAUAUUAAAAGUAAUGAAAAAAUGAAUUGUAAAAAUAGUAAUGUGGAAAAAUUAUUAAUUGUAACUAAAAAUAAUUAUUUGAUAGUAAUUUUAUAAAAGAAAAAAAGAAGAUUAUUAAAAAAAAUAGUUUAUAAUAAUUAUUUAAAAGUUUCUAAUUAACAUUAUCGCGACACAUGACAAUAAAAAAUUAAGAUAUUGACAUGUGUUAAUUGUUUUAUAAAUAUAUGAUAAUUAUCUAAAAUAAAUUGUUUGAUAAAACUUUUUUUUUUCAAAUCAUAGAAAAUAGAAUUUUAAAUGGGUUAUUUGAUAAUAAUUUUACCUUUAUAUGAAUUUGAUGAAGAACAUGAUACUAGAAAUAGUAAAAAUAAUGAAUUAUAAUAACAGUUAUUUUAAAAAUUAUAUAAUUAUAAUUGGAAAUUGUUAUUGAUAGUAUUUUUCCUUUUCUAAAUUUUUGAAUAAAAUAUAAUUCUAAAUUUUUUUUUGAUGAAAUUAUUUUACAGGAGUUUUUCUUUUCAAAAAAUCCUAAACAAAAUAAAAUUUAAUUUUCAAGAGUAUUUGAUAGAAUUUGUUUUUCAAAUCGUAAAUAAAUUUGAUUUGUAAAACAAGUUUUUCAAAUAUUUCUUAUAAAUAACAAAAUUUUUUGUUUAAUAAUAAAUUUUGAUGUUUAAAAGAUCACAAUAAUUAUAGGGCAAAUCUCCAAAAUAGCACCUUUCUAAGUUUAUGUCACAAAAAUAGCCUAAAAAUUUAAAAUGACUAAAAUAGCAUUUUAUCUUUUGAAAAAGUUAAUUUUUUUUAUUUUUAAAAAUUUGAAAUCUUAUCCCAAAACCCCACUCCCCAACUCUAAACUCUAAACCCUAAACCCUAAACUCUAAACCCUAAACCCUAAACCCUAAAUCCUAAACCCGACCCCUUAACUCUAAACCCUAAACCCUAAGCCCCACCCCUAAACUCUAAACCCUAAAACCUAAACUCUAAACUCUAAAUCCUAAACCCUAAACCCUAAACCCUAAAUCCUAAACCCGACCCCUUAACUCUAAACCCUAAACCCUAAGCCCCACCCCUAAACUCUAAACCCUAAACCCUAAACUCUAAACUCUAAAUCCUAAACCCUAAACCCUAAACCUUAAACCCUAAAUCCUAAACCCUAAACCCUAAACCCCACCUCUUAACUCUAA
rnacentral:lncRNA from 1 species